rnacentral:rRNA from 1 species
UNUGACUUGAGUGCAGAAGGGGAGAGUGGAAUUCCAUGUGUAGCGGUGAAAUGCGUAGAUAUAUGGAGGAACACCAGUGGCGAAAGCGGCUCUNUGGUCUGUCACUGACGCUGAGGCUCGAAAGCGUGGGUAGCGAACAGGAUUAGAUACCCUGGUAGUNCACGCCGUAAACGAUGAGUGCUAGGUGUUAGGCCCUUUCCGGGGCUUAGUGCCGGAGCUAACGCAAUAAGCACUCCGCCUGGGGAGUACGACCGCAAGGUUGAAACUCAAAGGAAUUGACGGGGGCCCGCACAAGCGGUGGAGCAUGUGGUUUAAUUCGAAGCAACGCGAAGAACCUUACCAGGUCUUGACAUCCCGAUGCUAUUCUUAGAGAUAGGAAGUUACUUCGGUACAUCGGAGACAGGUGGUGCAUGGUUGUCGUCAGCUCGUGUCGUGAGAUGUUGGGUUAAGUCCCGCAACGAGCGCAACCCUUAUUGUUAGUUGCCAUCAUUAAGUUGGGCACUCUAGCGAGACUGCCGGUAAUAAACCGGAGGAAGGUGGGGAUGACGUCAAAUCAUCAUGCCCCUUAUGACCUGGGCUACACACGUGCUACAAUGGUCGGUACAACGAGUUGCGAGCCGGUGACGGCGAGCUAAUCUCUGAAAGCCGAUCUCAGUUCGGAUUGGAGGCUGCAACUCGCCUCCAUGAAGUCGGAAUCGCUAGUAAUCGCGGAUCAGCACGCCGCGGUGAAUACGUUCCCGGGCCUUGUACACACCGCCCGUCACACCACGAGAGUUUGUAACACCCGAAGUCGGUGAGGUAACCUUUUAGGGNCCA